UUGUUGGACACGUGCUGAUAGGAAAAGAAAACGGUGCUUUCCUCGACGAAGCAAACACGUCUUCUUCCUCGUUGGACCACUGAAGCUCAUCAUCGGUUUCCUCUUCUUCUACGUCGCUAACGACGUCAAUUUCGCAACUAGGUUCGUCCCUGAUUUCCGCAAAAGUGAGGAGGUCUUGGCGCUUGGCGGAGAAGUUGUUGUGCGACGGCACAGAGACGGCCUCGAGAACCAGUCGGCCGUUUUCAUCUCAAUCUCUCUCGCAUCGAAGAGAUAAAGGUUGCUUUUGGAGGUGUGGAGCAUGUUAGUCAGCAGCCUCCGCGUCAACCUGAGCAGACAGGAACCUCAAGUGCUCUUGCUCUCCCUGGUUAUUUUCCCAUAUGAAAAAGAGUUUGUUAGAGCAUCAGCAUUAGUGAACCCCAUCAAAGGGGUUCACAAAGUAUUUUUUUAUUAUUAUUUUUUUUCUGUUUGAUUUUUGUUUUUUUUUUAAAAAAAAAAAUUUAUUAAUCGGACCAAUCGCGGGCCGCCACGUGUCGUGGGGUCCGCGCUACAGUGAUGAUCCGGGUUCAGUGCAGUGAACUCCCAAGAGGUUCAUUGUUUUUGUUUAUUUUAAUAUAUUUUUUUUUCGAAAACUGCGUGAACUCCAUGGGGAGUUCACUGAUGCAUCAGAUGCUCUUAGAUAUUUUAACUGGGACAAUCCAGAGUUGGCUCCAUGUGGACUCAUAAACUGUGGAAACAUGUUUGUGCUGAUCUGGUUGAUUGAGUUGCUUUACUUGCUUAUGUUUCCUCCCCUUUGAAUAUGUAUUUCUUUUUUCAGUUGUUUAGCGAAUGUGAUUCUACAAUGCCUAUUAUGGACACGUCCUCUUGUUGCAUACCUACUAGAGAGAGGACACAUGAGUGAAUGUAGAAUUCUGUCUUUUGUUAAUCAAUGCUUCAAACUCGUUCGUUUGGUUUUC